rnacentral:tRNA from 1 species
GGAUAGAUGGCUGAGUGGUUUAAAGCAUUAAUUUUGAAAAUUAAAAUAAGUAUGUUUCUUAUCGUAGGUUCAAAUCCUACUUUAUCCA